GACAGAGGGUGCAAACGUUGCUCGGAAUUACUGGGCGUAAAGCGUGCGCAGGCGGUUUUGUAAGUUUGUCGUGAAAGCCCCGGGCUCAACCUGGGAAUUGCGAUGAAGACUGCAAGGCUUGAAUCUGGCAGAGGGGGGUAGAAUUCCACGUGUAGCAGUGAAAUGCGUAGAGAUGUGGAGGAACACCGAUGGCGAAGGCAGCCCCCUGGGUCAAGAUUGACGCUCAUGCACGAAAGCGUGGGGAGCAAACAGG
rnacentral:rRNA from 1 species